rnacentral:misc_RNA from 1 species
AACGCACCUUGCACCCUUUGGUAUUCCGAAGGGUACGCCCGUUUGAGUGUCAUUGUAUUCUCACCUCUUCUCCUUUUUUUGGGAGAGGGUGGUGGACUUGGACGCUUGCCGUAGUUGCUACGGCUCGUCCCAAAUGCAGGAGUGUGACCCCCCUUUGUCGGUGUCAUCCGGUGUGAUAAGUAUCUUCACUGGAGUAUCUUGGAAGGACCUAGUCCUUUUGAGAGCAUCGUUGGGGUGUGGUGAUGCUGCCAACCGUCUUGCCUUGCAGGACAAUCACUUGACAAUUUGACCUCAGAUCGGGUGGGACUACCCGCUGAACUUAA